UUCAUAUUUUUCCUCUUUUCUCUCUUAUGUGGUUAUGGGUACUGCGAUGGUUAUCCGUAGCGACUUGAUGCUCACUCACCUAGCAACAACUGAUUCAUGUAUCAGUUUACUGAAUUUCUUAUGUUCAUUAUUGAGUGCUACUCGAUCGGUGAUUCAUCCUCCCGAGAAAUUGAGUAUCAUAGUGCCACUAAUCCAAAGAAGACAUCGUGGGUUGGAAAUGGAGAGAAGAGUAAAGGCAGAAUGAGAAAGGAGUAAAGGAUUGCCUUCCACCAAGGGUAAUAACCAACCAACAAGGUGCCUGAACAUAUUGCAAGAUUUUGAAAAGUGACAACUCGGAUAAAAUGGCAGUGUCUAAGCUCA